rnacentral:rRNA from 1 species
GACGAACGCUGGCGGCGUGCUUAACACAUGCAAGUCGAACGAAGAGCGAUGGAAGCUUGCUUCUAUCAAUCUUAGUGGCGAACGGGUGAGUAACGCGUAAUCAACCUGCCCUUCAGAGGGGGACAACAGUUGGAAACGACUGCUAAUACCGCAUACGAUCUAAUCUCGGCAUCGAGGAUAGAUGAAAGGUGGCCUCUACAUGUAAGCUAUCACUGAAGGAGGGGAUUGCGUCUGAUUAGCUAGUUGGAGGGGUAACGGCCCACCAAGGCGAUGAUCAGUAGCCGGUCUGAGAGGAUGAACGGCCACAUUGGGACUGAGACACGGCCCAGACUCCUACGGGAGGCAGCAGUGGGGAAUCUUCCGCAAUGGACGAAAGUCUGACGGAGCAACGCCGCGUGAGUGAUGACGGCCUUCGGGUUGUAAAGCUCUGUUAAUCGGGACGAAAGGCCUUCUUGCGAACAGUUAGAAGGAUUGACGGUACCGGAAUGGAAAGCCACGGCUAACUACGUG